rnacentral:rRNA from 1 species
UACCAGCACCCCGAGUGGUCGGGACGAUUAUUGGGCCUAAAGCAUCCGUAGCCGGUUCUACAAGUCUUCCGUUAAAUCCACCUGCUUAACAGAUGGGCUGCGGAGGAUACUAUAGAGCUAGGAGGCGGGAGAGGCAAGCGGUACUUAGUGGGUAGGGGUAAAAUCCGUUGAUCCAUUGAAGACCACCAGUGGCGAAGGCGGCUUGCCAGAACGCACUCAACGGUGAGGGAUGAAAGCUGGGGGAGCAAACCGG